UGGCGGCGUGCCUAAUACAUGCAAGUCGAACGCACAGCGAAAGGUGCUUGCACCUUUCAAGUGAGUGGCGAACGGGUGAGUAACACGUGGACAACCUGCCUCAAGGCUGGGGAUAACAUUUGGAAACAGAUGCUAAUACCGAAUAAAACUUAGUGUCGCAUGACACAAAGUUAAAAGGCGCUUCGGCGUCACCUAGAGAUGGAUCCGCGGUGCAUUAGUUAGUUGGUGGGGUAAAGGCCUACCAAGACAAUGAUGCAUAGCCGAGUUGAGAGACUGAUCGGCCACAUUGGGACUGAGACACGGCCCAAACUCCUACGGGAGGCUGCAGUAGGGAAUCUUCCACAAUGGGCGAAAGCCUGAUGGAGCAACGCCGCGUGUGUGAUGAAGGCUUUCGGGUCGUAAAGCACUGUUGUAUGGGAAGAACAGCUAGAAUAGGAAAUGAUUUUAGUUUGACGGUACCAUACCAGAAAGGGACGGCUAAAUACGUGCCAGCAGCCGCGGUAAUACGUAUGUCCCGAGCGUUAUCCGGAUUUAUUGGGCGUAAAGCGAGCGCAGACGGUUUAUUAAGUCUGAUGUGAAAGCCCGGAGCUCAACUCCGGAAUGGCAUUGGAAACUGGUUAACUUGAGUG
rnacentral:rRNA from 1 species